rnacentral:misc_RNA from 1 species
AAGUCGUAACAAGGUUUCCGUAGGUGAACCUGCGGAAGGAUCAUUAACAAGAUUUUGCCCCGUGUGCUUAUGCGCGCAUGGAUGGCAUUUCUACCACCACACCCACACCACGAGCACUGACUGACCCGUUUCGCGCGUGUGCCUUUGGGCGCACGCGCAAGGAUAAACUUUUUACACUUAUACACUCUUGUACAUUCAUACUAGUUCCGCUCUUUCGGGAGAUUGAACGACCUAUAAAUCAUCAUACAACUUUCAACAAUGGAUCUCUUGGUUCCC